AUAAUAAUAAUAAUAAUGAUAAUAAUAAUAAUAACAAGCAUUGCUCUCGGAUUCAAUUGCUUUCAGAUGUACCAGCUGCAGAUUGCCGCAUACAGGAGUAGUAAAAGACUAUUAUUUCUUGAAAAGACACAAAGUGGAAUUGGAGGAUGGAUCUAUAUACGAAAAUUUGUUCCUCGUCGUGCUGCAAUUGCCACACUCACAGAAAGAUCUCUAAAUUAUGCUGUUCAAUACGCUGAAACAUUUUUCGACUGAAAAUUUCAAGUUUUGUAAAAAAAGAAAAAGGAAAAGGAAAUCAAAGCUGGAGAAUUUGUUUUAAUUAUAUUUACCUUUAUUUUCUCUUCAUGCAUCAUUUUUAUGACCCAUUAGCAGAAUUUGUAUUUUUAUGAAUUACCUACAGAAUUCCUAAUAAAUUUAUUGACUGACAAAUAUUAACAGCCUUAACACCAACAAGAACAACAACGGUGACAACGGCAACAACAACAACAACAAAGAUAACAAGAGAAGAUAUUGUAAUGUAUUACAUGAAUUCUUUGGUCUUUUAUUUAGUCUGGGGUUCCGACUGAUAAUAAUAAAAAUCAGAAAAUGAAGAUU
rnacentral:lncRNA from 1 species